AGGGCACCACCAGGAGUGGAGCCUGCGGCUUAAUUUGACUCAACACGGGAAACCUCACCCGGCCCGGACACGGACAGGAUUGGCAGAUCGAUAGCUCUUUCUCGAUUCCGUGGGUGGUGGUGCAUGGCCGUUCUUAGUUGGUGGAGCGAUUUGUCUGGUUAAUUCCGAUAACGAACGAGACUCUGGCAUGCUAACUAGUUACGCGACCCCCCGAGCGGUCGGCGUCCCCCAACUUCUUAGAGGGACAAGUGGCGUUCAGCCACCCGAGAUUGAGCAAUAACAGGUCUGUGAUGCCCUUAGAUGUCCGGGGCUGCACGCGCGCUACACUGACUGGCUCAGCGUGUGCCUACCCUACGCCGGCAGGCGCGGGUAACCCGUUGAACCCCAUUCGUGAUGGGGAUCGGGGAUUGCAAUUAUUCCCCAUGAACGAGGAAUUCCCAGUAAGUGCGGGUCAUAAGCUUGCGUUGAUUAAGUCCCUGCCCUUUGUACACACCGCCCGUCGCCACUACCGAUUGGAUG
rnacentral:rRNA from 1 species